rnacentral:lncRNA from 1 species
UACAGUGUUUAGCUUAGGUGGGAGCACUAGAAGUUGGGGAUCAUCAGUAGGCGAAGCUAAAAUCAAAUCACAUCGUCUGCCCUUCUGCUACUUUAUAUCUUUGGCCCAAGGGAUGAAUAUCCCUCCAACACAUGCCCCCUACUCCCGAGUUCGAUUCUGAUGAAGGAAGUACUUAAGUCUUGAUUUACCAAAGACACACUGUCUCUUCACCGAAA